UGACGAAGCGACGCCGCGUGCGGGAAGAAGGCCUUCGGGUUGUAAACCGCUGUCGGGAGUUAGGAAAUGCAAGGGCGUUAAUAGCGUUCUUGUUUGACUAAGGCUCCGGAGGAAGCCACGGCUAACUCUGUGCCAGCAGCCGCGGUAAUACAGAGGUGGCAAGCGUUGUUCGGAAUUAUUGGGCGUAAAGCGCAUGUAGGCGGCCUUGCAAGUCAACUGUGAAAUCCUUCUGCUCAACGGAAGAACGGCAGUUGAUACUACAAGGCUUGAGUGCGGGAGGGGAGAGUGGAACUUCUGGUGGAGCGGUGAAAUGCGUAGAUAUCAGAAGGAACACCGGCGGCGAAAGCGACUCCCUGGUCCGUAACUGACGCUGAGGUGCGAAAGCUAGGGGAGCAAACGGGAUUAGAUACCCCGGUAGUCCUAGCCGUAAACGAU
rnacentral:rRNA from 1 species